CCCAGAGAAAUUGUGGCUUCAGUUCUAGACCACUGCAAUAAAGGAAGUAUCACAGUAAAGCAAGUCCUGAUCUUUUUUGCUGGUGGAGGAUCUUGUCUUCAGAUUAUAAAAACAGAUCUAUGAAGCCCAACAA